UCUGUUGGGCGUUUCUGCUGAGAGGCGGGAGGGGCUGAGAGUCUGUGCGAAGGUAGGUGGACAGACUGCAUUGCUUGUUGUUGCGCUUCGGAGGCGGCGAUCCCCGAAGGCGAGCUGAAAUACGGCUGGAGCGUUCCCAGGCUACAGUUUGUAGCCGACGAUUGUGGAAGACUAGGAGCCGGAGAGGUGGCCCACCCUCAGGGAGCGCUUGUGCUCGGAGGGCUUCUCAUUUCCCCAAUACCACAUUAAAUCGUCUCAUCUGAGGAGGAUCCACAGAGCUGUCUUCUAUGGUAAUCUGGAGAAACUGGAGUACCUUCUGCUCACGUAUCAUGACACCAAUGAGAGAGACAAGGAGGAAAGCAUCCGGUGAAAGACAGAGAUCACAUUUCAACUAGAUUCUUAGGAAGUAUGGAUUCACUAACUUCAGCGAAGCUUACCCUGAAAGAAGCAGAUCCCAGUUCAAAAGUAGCCAUAAGAAGGAAGGAUUCACCACCUCCAGGAAAAGUGUCUUCUCAGAAACAACCAGCUGAGAAGGCUGCAAGUGACGAGAAAGAUUCUGUUUCGAAUAUAGCCACAGAAAUAAAGGAGGGACCAAUAUCUGGGACAGUGUCUUCUCAGAAACAACCAGCUGAGAAGGCUGCAAGUGACGAGAAAGAUUCUGUUUCAAAUAUAGCCACAGAAAUAAAGGAUGGACAACAAUCUGGGAGACAUAAUUUUGCAAAGCAGAUUUAAUGUCAUGUUCAGCCAAGAUAGACAAGAACUUCUCUUCCCCGAAUAAAUCAGCGGGGGACUCUUUGAAGCUGCACAUUCUGAUUCAGCAGGCCUGAGAUUCUACAUUUGUAUGUCUUCUCAGAAACAAUCGGCCUGGAAGGUUAUAUUUAAAAAGAAAGUUUCUCUUUUGAAUAUUGCCACAAGAAUAAUGGGUGGUCAGAAAUCUGGAACAGAGUAUCCUGAGAAUCUGCCCACCAUGAAGGCUACAGUUGAAAAUAAAGAUUCUGUUCUGAAUACAGCCACCAAAAUGAAGGAUGUACAAACAUCCACACCAGAAGAACAAGACUUAGAAAUGGCAUCAGAGGGAGAGCAAAAGAGGCUUGAAGAAUAUGAAAAUAACCAGCCACAGCAACUGGAUGAUGCUCGCAACAAAGCUGACAAUCAAGAAAAGGCAAUACUUAAUAUUCAAGCCAGAUGUGAUGCUAGAGUACAAAACCUUCAAGCUGAGUGCAGAAAGCGCCGUCUUUUACUAGAAGACAGUAAAAGGUUGGUAAAUGAAUUGAAUCAUUUGAAAGAAAAAGAACGCCAAUAUGAAAAAAAGCAAGCAGAAAGAGAACUUCAAGAAACACAGGAUCAACUUACAGCUACUAUAAGAUGUACUAAGGGGAUGGAAGGCGACGCACAAAAGCUUGAAGUAGAAAAUGCCAUGAUGAGAAAAACUAUUAAAAAACAGGAUGACCAAAUUGAGCGACUUGAGAAAAUCCUGCAGCGUUCAAGUUUGAUGCCACAGGUGUUCAAGAGCUAGAUGAAGUGCUUGUCCUAGUACCUUAGCACAUGGUUGCUGAAUACAUGAAUGAAGAGUGAGAAACCAGAAGCUCUGAUAUUUAACUGCCGUGAUAAUGAAUUCAAUGUGCAACUAUGGGCAAAUUGUAUUUAAUAGUAAUUGCAUAUUGUACAUAUUUUUCAUUCUUAUUAACACUGAUAAACUUUUCAACUUAUACUGACUUUAAUAAAAUUGUAUUACUAGGCUAUUAACAUGAUAUUUUGUUUCCCAUUAAAUGUGACAUGCAAAGACGUUUAUUAAAUGAAAAUAUUUUUGUA
ensembl:lncRNA ANKRD36BP2 ankyrin repeat domain 36B pseudogene 2